UACGUAGGGGGCAAGCGUUAUCCGGAUUUACUGGGUGUAAAGGGAGCGCAGACGGUAUGGCAAGUCUGAAGUGAAAUGUCGGGGCUCAACCCCGAAACUGCUUUGGAAACUGUCAAACUCGAGUGUCGGAGGGGUAAGCGGAAUUCCUAGUGUAGCGGUGAAAUGCGUAGAUAUUAGGAGGAACACCGGCGGCGAAGGCGGCUUACUGGACGAUAACUGACGUUGAGGCUCGAAAGCGUGGGGAGCAAAC
rnacentral:rRNA from 1 species